AGGCUCACUUCAGCAACACAUGUGCUAAAAUUGGAAGGAUACAGAGAUUAGCGCGGCCCUUGCGCAAGGAUGACAUGCAAAUUCAUGGAAUGUUUGUCAUUGUU
rnacentral:snRNA from 1 species